GAUGAACGCUGGCGGCGUGCUUAACACAUGCAAGUCGAACGGUGAAGCAGGAGCUUGCUCCUGUGGAUCAGUGGCGAACGGGUGAGUAACACGUGAGCAAUCUGCCCUGGACUCUGGGAUAAGCGUUGGAAACGACGUCUAAUACCGGAUACGAGGCGUGGGGGCAUCCCCAACGCCUGGAAAGAACUUCGGUCCAGGAUGAGCUCGCGGCCUAUCAGGUAGUUGGUGAGGUAACGGCUCACCAAGCCUACGACGGGUAGCCGGCCUGGGAGGGUGACCGGCCACAAUGGGACUGCGACACGGCCCAGACUCCGACGGGAGGCAGCAGUGGGGAAUAUUGCACAAUGGGCGCAAGCCUGAUGCAGCAACGCCGCGUGAGGGACGACGGCCUUCGGGUUGUAAACCUCUUUUAGCAGGGAAGAAGCGAAAGUGACGGUACCUGCAGAAAAAGCACCGGCUAACUACGUGCCAGCAGCCGCAGUAACAC
rnacentral:rRNA from 1 species